GACGAACGCUGGCGGCGUGCUUAACACAUGCAAGUCGAACGGAAAGGCCUGCUUUCCCUUGUGGAUUGCGGGUACUCGAGUGGCGAACGGGUGAGUAACACGUGAGUUAUCUGCCCCCAACUUGGGUAUAAGCCUGGGAAACUGGGUCUAAUUCCCGAUAGGACUGCAGGGUGGUGCCUGUGGUGGAAAACGAUUUUCUAGUGGUUGGGGAUGAGCUCGCGGCCUAUCAGCUUGUUGGUGGGGUAAUGGCCUACCAAGGCGGCGACGGGUAGCCGGCCUGAGAGGGUGGACGGCCACAUUGGGACUGAGAUACGGCCCAGACUCCUACGGGAGGCAGCAGUGGGGAAUAUUGCGCAAUGGGCGGAAGCCUGAUGCAGCGACGCCGCGUGGGGGAUGACGGCCUUCGGGUUGUAAACUCCUUUCGACCGCGAGGAAGCCACCUGGUUGGAAGGGUGGUGACGGUAGUGGUAGAAGAAGCACCGGCUAACUACGUG
rnacentral:rRNA from 1 species